UUCUUUGGAGAGUUUGAUCCUGGCUCAGGACGAACGCUGGCGGCGUGCCUAAUACAUGCAAGUCGAGCGGACCGAACGAGGGCUUGCUCUUGUUUGGUCAGCGGCGGACGGGUGAGUAACACGUGGGCAACCUGCCCGCAAGA
rnacentral:rRNA from 1 species